rnacentral:rRNA from 1 species
GAUGAACGCUGGCGGCGUGCCUAAUACAUGCAAGUCGAGCGAACGGACGAGAAGCUUGCUUCUCUGCUGUUAGCGGCGGACGGGUGAGUAACACGUGGCUAACCUACCUAUAAGACUGGGAUAACUUCGGGAAACCGGAGCUAAUACAGGAUAUUAUUUUGAACCGCAUGGUUCAAAAGUGAAAGACGGUCUUGCUGUCACUUAUAGAUGGUUCCGCGCUGCAUUAGCUAGUUGGUAAGGUAACGGCUUACCAAGGCAACGAUGCAUAGCCGACCUGAGAGGGUGAUCGGCCACACUGGAACUCAGACACGGUCCAGACUCCUACGGGAGGCAGCAGUAGGGAAUCUUCCGCAAUGGGCGAAAGCCUGACGGAGCAACGCCGCGUGAGUGAUGAAGGUCUUCGGAUCGUAAAACUCUGUUAUUAGGGAAGAACAUAUGUGUAAGUAACUGUGCACAUCUUGACGGUACCUAAUCAGAAAGCCGCGGCUAACUACGUG